rnacentral:rRNA from 1 species
UACGUAGGGACCAAGCGUUGUCCGGAAUCAUUGGGCGUAAAGCGCGCGUAGGUGGCCAUUUAAGUCCGCUGUGAAAGUCAGAGGCUCACCUUUGAAAGCCGGUGGAUACUGGAUGGCUAGAGUACGGAAGAGGCGAGUGGAAUUCCUGGUGUAGCGGUGGAAUGCGCAGAUAUCAGGAGGAACACCAAUAGCGAAGGCAGCUCGCUGGGACGUUACUGACACUAAGGCGCGAAAGCGUGGGGAGCGAACAGG